AACUGCUCUACCCGGAAGACUUACUUCGGCUCAUUAGAAAGCCGACUUUGUUAAUAUUAGAUAUUGAAAACGUGAAACUUUUUAACGAUUUCUGCUCUCCUUUUAGCAUACCGAUAUUAUGCAUUUCAAGUGGUCCAGCAUUACCCCUGAGAGACUUUGGAGAAAAAGUAAAAACGGGCUCGACAUUUACAUGGUUUCUCUCCUCUCCCCUUGAAGCCGUGGCUCUGUUUUUUGGAAACAUAAUCGCUUAUGAAAAGAAAUUUAUUACACUCGUUGAACAGAAUACGUGAAAUGGAGCGCAAAUCUUAUGAGCUUUGUGACGCUCGUUUAUUACGGAUUUACGGAGAAAUUAUAAAACUGAUGCUCACUUCCUGUAAAGCA